rnacentral:lncRNA from 1 species
AUCAGAUCUUGUGACAACUCACUCACUUACUAUCAUGAAUACAGCAGCAGAGAAAUGGAGAUAUUUAAAAUUCAAAUAUAAAUGCCGAUGAAUAAAAUUUUAUUGGGACAUAGCUAUGCUCAUUCACUUAUGUAUUAUCUAUGACUGGUUUCACAUGGCAGAGUUGAGCAGCUGUGAAAGAGCCUAUUCUUAGGCAAAGCCUGCAAUAUUUGUUAUCUGAACUUUUACAAAAAAUGUUCUCAAUCCCUGCCCAGGAAGAUUGCCUGAGUCUGUCAUCUUACCCCAGCAGCAUCCAUCCCUUUGUAAAUAAGACUUUUGGUAGAAAUGGAAACAAUUAAAAAUAUUUAUAUGCUUUAAAAUAAUACAUUUAAUAAAAGGUAUCUAAAUCCUUGCAUAUAUGACUGUAAA